ensembl:lncRNA
CGUGCGUGAAAGCUGAUAAAUAGGAGGCGCCCUGAUCCUGAUCGGUGGCUUUGCCGGCGUCCUGUGCGUCUCUGGUCACUCCCCAUGCGGCUGACAGGGUAGAAUCCUGUCCUUAAUUAAACCACAACUAAAUCAGGUACAGUACACACACACACACACACACACACACAAUACAAUCAAAUAAUACCUCCUCUGUAAACAGACACAUUAUGACACUCGGCCUGUUUAAACAUAAUUACAGUAAUCCCGUUACAGCUGUGUGGACUUAAGGGUCUCAAUGGCUUCGUAUAAUCUUCCAUUGUCAUAUCAUAGCUUAUAUUAAGAGACUGACAGUAAAUAUACUACAUAAAGUCCAUCUCACAUCAUUAAGACAUCAAACGUCUGAGCAUCAACACAGAGGAAGCGAUGAGCUCCGUUACUCCGUCGCUUCCUUCUUACGCGCUGUAAUUGAAAAGAGGCGUCAGGAGCAGAGGAAGGAGCGCUGUGUGACAGUGCUGCAGGAAAAGAGAUGGAAAGUCCGGCUUGUUAAAGGUCACCAGUAGCCAAUUCCCCCCCUGUCCCUCCCCGGGCCGCUCCUAUUGGCUGGUAGUAGUAAUCAUGACCUUUUCACACAAAGCCAAACCAGCACGUGUGCAAACAAACAUCUAAUCAUGAUGUAUGUCUCUGCAGGGGGAGCGAGGCACAGAUGGAGAUCCAGGGACUCCCGGUGUACCUGUGAGUGUAGAUUUGCACUCCCCCCACUGGGUGGCAGUGAAGCUUUUUUCAAUGUUGAGAUUCAGUUCUGUGUUUGAAAUAUAUGUGCAGGUGUGCAGUGAGUUACAACGACCAAUGGAUGGCAAGAACAUCUCCACCCAUCACUUACAAGCAGCUAAAUAGUGGUUGGAACUCGAGUUGUAAAUAAUCUCAACAUCUGUCAGUUGUUAAUAACAGAAAUCUUCUGAUAAAAUCACAACAACUGGAAUGAAGAUGAUAUCAAUACGAAACAAAAGUUACGUGAGUAACUACGGUUCACUGAAUCCUGGAUGACCACAGAUCUUUUGUCUCGUGGCUGCGCAGGUCGAGUAUUUUAUAACAGCAAAGUCACCUGUGACCUCAGGUGACCUCCACAGUCUAGAAGUUCUGGUGUCGUCCUGAGAUCAGUCCUACGGUAUCUAAGCCCUUAGAGCGCAACCGGGUACAGUAGUCCCCCCCCCCCGAUGGAGCGUCAAACUGGGACAGCUGGAUAGGUUGGUUGGCAGCGAGCGUGCCGCCCCCUUUGAGCGAAAAGCUGUAGUCGGCCACAAGGUGACAUCCGAGCCGACCGGGCUGGCGUCAAAACGGCAGCUUCAAGCUCCCAGCCCCGUGUGUCAUGUGGCGGAGAAGGCAGGACCCAGACGCAGAGCUUUGGGAAACUAAAAGACUGAUAGUCAAGACUUCAAAUCAAAAAAAGGCCAAGGGAUAAAAAUGCAGACAGGAACCAGGAACCCUCAGACCCCGUUGACACGAUGGGGAAACCUUUGGGCCUUUCAUUUACACAAAAACAGAGGUUUUAUCACGGAAAACGAUCGUUUCUAAAAUCUCCGGCCAAAGUGGAGAUUUCUGAAAACUCAGUGUUUGUGUUUGCGUGUGAACUCGGUCCAACGGAGUUUUAGGUUGUCAAACGUCACAGUAUGCGACUUGUUGUUGGUUUUGAGAAUUCUGAUUGGUUUGCACGUCUUUAUCCUUCUCGUUACACUGCCGACUACAGGUUUGGCGUAGUUAUGAUGGCGCCCGGGGACGUAUUUAUGCGGGUUCAUAUAAACAGAAACUUUUUUGAAAACAGAGGGGCAGAAAUAUUUGUUUCUGUAAAUACUGUAAAUAUGUGUAAAUGUGGCCUCAGACUUGAACUUCCAGAAUAUUCAUCAAUGACGUGACAAGAGACGCACACGGCUUAAAUACACUGGGAGGUGCAGGUGAUUGGACACAGGUGGAAACAAUCAUGACACGCAGCCAAUCACAGGACAAGGCAGGAAGUGAAGUUACCAGUGUUAAUUUUGGAAGCUAUUUUUGAUUUAGUCUUAGUCUUUAGACGAAAAAUGCAUAUUAGUUUUAGUCACAUUUAGUAAUUUUAAUCCUUCUUAGUUUUAGUCUAGUUUUCAUUGACGAAAACUAGACUAAAAUGUAAUUAAUUUUAGUCUAGUUUUAGUCCCAUUUAAUAGCUUUAUUAAACUCCUUUUCUUCCCUUCUAAGGCCCAGGGACCCCCUGUGUUGUGUCUACAGCUGCAUAAUAGUCCAGCUUGCAGUACUUGGUUGUCCAUUAGAUGUCCCUCCUAGGACAGGUCUAUAGAUGUCCCUCCUAGGACAGGUCUAUAGAUGUCCCUCCUAGGACAGGUCUAUAGCAGGUUGGCAAACGUUUUGACUCGCGGCCACAAUGGGUUGUAAAAUGUGACGGAGGAGCCGGGCCAAGAACAAAUGGUGGAAGUGAAAAGAUUUGGAUUUUAACAAAUAGCAAAGCAUUUAUUUGCAAGGCAAUUUAACAAAUUGGCAAAGGUGUAACAACUUCAUGAGGACCAGGGAUCUAAACGCAACACUUACAGCUCAGCCUACAUGAGACACACUGUCAGGUCCAAAUGCAUCAGCAGUGAAUUGAAAAGUGAAGUGAAAGUAUUUUACUGCUGGGAUGACAAAUUUUCGUCUCCAGACAGACUUCCUAAUACUUACUGGGUAAAAUAAAUAUGAGCGUUUGCUCUACAGUGCGUUCUGUUCUCCUGGUGUCCUUCCUCAUUCUCUGUGUGUUCUCCUCCGAUCCGUUACGUCCAUGUUAGGGGGAGUAGUAGGUCGACCCAAAUGCACAAGCACAGCAGUUUGAUUUGUAGCCAAUGAUUGUAUUUCCCAUACGACCUGGGAAGGGAAAAAGAAAAAAACAAACAAGGCAAAUAGUCAAAAGGGGAACAGAAAGUGCUCUUCGGGCUCAACUGGAGUCGGGAGGGAAACUCCACCGACGUCUGUCAGGGGAUAAAGCAGUUCUGGUGUGGAAACCCGAGGCCCGACACCAUAACCAGAGGCUGAUUAAAACGAGUCACGUGUACUCCGUGGGUCUGACACUGCAGGACAUUAACAUGCAAACUGGUGCGCUACAUCUGACAAAAUAAAUACGAGGCGCCCUGAUCCUGAUCAGUGGCAAAAAACAACAAAUCAACAAAAAAACAACAAAACAAAAGCACAGACGGGGAAAAACUGCUAAGCAGAUAGAGACCCUAACAGUCCGAUCUUCAGCUCCUGCUGUCCAUAUUGGACAGUGUCCUCUGGCAGGAUACAGACCCCCAGAUUACUCUGAAUGUUUCCCCGUUGGGGAUUAUUUCUGCUCCUGAUGGGCAGGUGGCAUCUGGAAUGGCAGCAGGUGUUGACAUGCACUUUGAGCUUUGAGUGGUGGAGACUGGAAAGGCGAAACCCAAACAUACAGGGAAGGUGUUGACUUCCACGUUGUGGUGCAUGGCUCAGAACGCUGCACACUCGGGGCCUCGUGGACCAGCGCUUUUGUGCCCACGCAUGUUUGUUCCUCAAUGUGCGCGUUAAAGCAUUGAGACUAUAUGACAGAAAUGAUUCAAGUAACUGAGUAGUAAACCAGGUGCAC